rnacentral:rRNA from 1 species
AGGGUCAAAUCCAACCUUUUAAAGGGUGAAACCGCGAAUGGCUCAUUAAAAUCAGCUAUGGUUCCUUAGACCAUACACUAUUACUUGGAUAACUGUAGUAAUUCUAGAGCUAAUACAUGCCACGAUGCCCUGACCCUUCGGGGGAUGGGUGCAUUUAUUAGAACAGAACCAACCGGGUGCAUUCCUCUGGUUUGCGCCUGUCACAUUCUGUGAUGACUCUGGAUAACUUUGCUGAUCGCAGUCGGCCUUGUGUCGGCGACGAGUCUUUCAAAUGUCUGCCCUAUCAAUUGUCGAUGGUAGGUGACCUGCCUACCAUGGUGAUAACGGGUAACGGGGAAUCAGGGUUCGAUUCCGGAGAAAGAGCCUGAGAAACGGCUACUAUUUCCAAGGAAGGCAGCAGGCGCGCAACUUACCCAAUCCCGGCACGGGGAGGUAGUGACGAAAAAUACGGAUGCGGGACUCAACAGAGGCUCCGUAAUUCGAAUGAGUACAAUUCAAAUCCUUUAACGAGGAUCAACUGGAGGGCAAGUCUGGUGCCAGCAGCCGCGGUAACUCCAGCUCCAGAAGCGUAUAUUAAAUUUGUUGCAGUUAAAAAGCUCGUAGUUGGAUCUGGGAAGCACGGUUACGAGUCGUUUCUUUACAUUUCUAACCUAGCCCACGGUUGGGCCGGUUAUGUAAAGGCGAUUUUUGUAGCUGUGUAGCCUUUCUUGCCGUGUCUGUUUACGGGUGCUGACGGGUCAAUACGUUGGCAUGCUUUCCAGAUGCUCUUUAACCGGGUGUCUGGGGCCGGACGGCAGUUUACUUUUGAACAAAUUUGAGUGCUCAAAGCAGGCCUAUGCCUGACAAUUCUUGCAUGGAAUAAUGGAAUAGGACUUUCGGUUUCUAUUUUUGAUUGGUUUUCCGAAUCCGAAGUAAUGGUUAAGAGGGACAGAAACGGGUGGCAAUUUGGAAUGGGCGGUGUGUACGACGCGAAAAUCUAAAUGAAAUCAUUCGGCCAGACAUCAAUACCUAUAAUAAGCGAAAAGAACAUUUUUGG